rnacentral:rRNA from 1 species
AUUGAACGCUGGCGGCAUGCCUUACACAUGCAAGUCGAACGGCAGCGGACCUUCGGGUGCCGGCGAGUGGCGAACGGGUGAGUAAUAUAUCGGAACGUACCUUUCAGUGGGGAUAACGUAGCGAAAGUUACGCUAAUACCGCAUACUCUGUGAGCAGGAAAGCAGGGGAUCGCAAGACCUUGCGCUGAUUGAGCGGCCGAUAUCAGAUUAGCUAGUUGGUGAGGUAAAGGCUCACCAAGGCGACGAUCUGUAGCGGGUCUGAGAGGAUGAUCCGCCACACUGGAACUGAGACACGGUCCAGACUCCUACGGGAGGCAGCAGUGGGGAAUUUUGGACAAUGGGCGCAAGCCUGAUCCAGCCAUGCCGCGUGAGUGAAGAAGGCCUUCGGGUUGUAAAGCUCUUUCGGCCGGGAAGAAAUCGCACAGGUUAAUACCCUGUGUGGAUGACGGUACCGGAAUAAGAAGCACCGGCUAACUACGUG